UUCGCGCUUUUUUCGCGUAAUUUUGUACCAGUUCACCAAAAUGUUUGAGAGGGAGCGAGGAAAGAAACACAACCUCUUCGUCUUAUUAGAAGUGAGCAGAACCUGUUGGAUGUUUUGCUGCAAAAGCUCGCUCUUCAAUGGAUGCACAUUUCCUCACCUCCGAUCCAGCCUGGAUGAAUGGGUCUGCAUCCAAACUCACCGAUAAUAUCAAGGGCUUUUAAAGACAGUAUUCAUGUGGGCUUCACCAGACCAUGUACAGGAGAUGACGGCCUAGUCCUAAGAUGACAUAAAGCAGUAGGUAGUUCCCAAAAACUCCAACCAGGACCACAAGAGCGUAGCAAGGGAUGAUGAGAG